CGUAUUGUUUGGCUCUUCUUUUGUUUCUCUUUUUUCUUGUUCUAAUUUGUUUUCUUAACCCGAGUUAGGGCGUUCAGGGUGUGAGUUGGACUUAAGAGAAGUUCGGCUUUCUAAGCUCGAGUGAAAAUCGAGAUGUGAAUCGUAGCUCGAGCGUUGAAUUAAUAGACUUGAAUCGUAGUUCACGGGUGUUGAUGUGAUUAAAUUUAUCGUGGGUUAUCGACUAAAGUUUUUAUUAUAGUUAAUUCGAGCUGUGAAUCGUAGCUCGAGCAGAGAAUAACAGUCUUGAAUCGUAGCUUAUGAGUGUGGAUAUGAUUAAAUUUAUCGUGGGUCAUCGACUUUUAGUUAAUUCGUGAUUUGACGUUAAAA